AUUGAACGCUGGCGGCAUGCUUUACACAUGCAAGUCGAACGGUAACAGGCCGCAAGGUGCUGACGAGUGGCGAACGGGUGAGUAAUGCAUCGGAACGUGCCCAGUCGUGGGGGAUAACGCAGCGAAAGCUGUGCUAAUACCGCAUACGAUCUAUGGAUGAAAGCGGGGGACCGUAAGGCCUCGCGCGAUUGGAGCGGCCGAUGUCAGAUUAGCUAGUUGGGGGGGUAAAGGCCCACCAAGGCGACGAUCUGUAGCUGGUCUGAGAGGCCGAGCAGCCACACUGGGACUGAGACACGGGCCAGGAUCCUACAGGAGGCAGCAGUGGGGAAUUUUGGACAAUGGGCGCAAGCCUGAUCCAGCAAUGCCGCGUGCAGGAAGAAGGCCUUCUGGUUGUAAACUGCUUUUGUACGGAACGAAAAGGACUGCCCUAAUACGGUGGUCCCAUGACGGUACCGUAAGAAUAAGCACCGGCUAACUACGUGCCAGCCGCCGCCGUAA
rnacentral:rRNA from 1 species